rnacentral:misc_RNA from 1 species
GACAAGGAUGGAAGUGGUUAUAUUACAGUAGAUGAGCUCCAGCAGGCCUGUGCAGAUCAUAACAUUACAGAUGUAUUCUUUGAGGAUAUUAUCAGAGAAGUUGAUCAGGAUAACGAUGGACGUAUUGAUUAUGGAGAAUUUGUUGCUAUGAUGCAAAAAGGAAAUCCAUGCAUAGGAAGACGAACGAUGCGAAAUAGUCUGAAUUUCAGCAUGAGAGAUGCGCCCGGAGCUCAUUAGCUUUUUGAAUGGACACAUGAUCUAGUUUGCAGGUUUUUACAGAUAAUAGAGCAGAGGCAAUGAAACUGCCGUAACAAUGUCUGGUACUCUUUUCUAAAAGUAGUAUGCCAUGCUCUCAAGUAUAACUAGAAGAGCUUGUAGACUGUGCCUCAACAAAAUGUGAAAUCUCUGUCGUGUGUGAAAUCAUUUCAGCUACCUAGUGUUCUUUAGUUGAGGCUUCAUGCUUGCUUCAGUUAGAAGGUGGUUCACCUUGAGGUGUAUCCUUGUCAAUUACAUAAUUAUGUAUUUUACCCAUUGGUUUUUCUCUAUCGGGAGAUUGUUUUUAAGGAAAAGAACACGAUUUGUUGUAACAAUUUACGCAAGCUAUAUUUGCAGAACAU